rnacentral:rRNA from 1 species
AAGGGUGAGUAAGGCGACGGCAACCAACCCCAUGGUUGGGCAUAGCCGCGGGAAACUGCGGGUAAUUCCCAGCGAUGUUCGCGUCGGGCAUCCGAUGUGAACCAAAGUUUCGGCGCCGUGGGACGGGCCGUCGUGGUAUUAGGUCGUUGGCGGGGUAAUGGCCCACCAAGCCUCUGAUGCCUACCGGGCGUGCGAGCGUGGCCCGGCACACUGGGACUGAGACACUGCCCAGACUCCUACGGGAGGCUGCAGUCGAGAAUCUUCGGCAAUGGGCGCAAGCCUGACCGAGCGACGCCGCGUGGAGGAUGAAGGCCUUCGGGUUGUAAACUCCUGUCGAGGGGGAGGAAGGCGCAAGCUUGACCUAUCCCUGGAGGAAGCACGGGCUAAGUUCGUGCCAGCAGCCGCGGUAAGACGAACCGUGCGAACGUUAUUCGGAAUCACUGGGCUUAAAGCGCGUGUAGGCGGAUGGGGACGUCGGUUGCUGAAAUCCCCCGGCUCAACCGGGGAACGGGCACCGAAACGCCCCGUCUGGAGGGACGUAGGGGGACCUGGAACUUCCGGUGGAGCGGUGAAAUGCGUUGA